UCUGUUCUCCACUCCAUUCAUCACAAUGGGGAAGAAGAAGGAGAAGAAAAUGAAGGCAAUUCCAAAUCCAAUUGAUUGUAUACCCAAAUAUUCACCCAAGAAGCUAUCCAAUCAAACCCCGCGCUGAUUUCUCUGUGCUUACAUGCACUCCCUCCUUAUUUAAUCCAGAUUCGUCGUCAUAUACACAUUCUAGAGUACUUAGAUUGUCCAAUUCCAAUGCAAAUAGUUUACAGGAGAGGGGAGUGGAAGAAAAACAAUUUUCAGCUGGUACACUGGUCCAACGUAACUAUUUCCAAAAGCAUAGAUCAGUGUGUUCAUCCGAAUUUUCUGAUGUUCUGGUUAAGGAAGUCAAGUUCCGCUGUCCAAGAUGAAAGUCUCAAUCAUGGGAUCUACAGGCAUGCUGGUAGAAAUAGGUGUCCUGAUUCUAUACAGGGAUGCUAAUAAUGAAAAAACUAACCUAAGCACGUUCCCUUUUAACGACAGAAAUUCUCUUGUAAUUCCUGGAAGUGUAAUAUGGGCUAGAACAGAUAAUCAAAUUCGGUGGCCUGUUGAGAUCAUGGAAGAAAGAUCCACAGUACCUGUUCCAGCCUCUGAUGGACAUGUUCU